CUCAGUAACCUUAGUCAACCUGCCCUGGAGACAUGGACAACCCCGGGAAACUGGGAUUAAUCCGUGAUAGGUCAUCUCAUCUGGAAGGAGAGAUGGCUUAAAGGGGUGUGCGGGCUUCUUCUGCACAUUUGCUCCAGGAUGGGACUGCGUCCGAUCAGGCUGUUGGCGGGGUAAUGGCCCACCAAACCUGUAACCGGUACGGGCCUUGAGAGAGGUGGCCCGGAGAUGGACACUGAGAGAAGGGUCCAGGUCCUACGGGGCGCAGCAGGCGCGAAACCUUCGCAAUGCGCGAAAGCGUGACGAGGUUAAUCCGAGUGGCCUCCGCUGAGGAGGUCUUUUGUCAGCUGUAAAUAGGCGGGCGAAUAAGGGGAGGGCAAGCCUGGUGUCAGCCGCCGCGGUAAUACCAGCUCCUCGAGUGGUCGGGGCGAUUAUUGGGCCUAAAGCAUCCGUAGCCGGUUCCGUAGGUCCUCUGUUAAAUCCAACCGCUCAACGGUUGACCUGCAGAGGAUACCGCGGGACUAGGAGGCGGGAGAGGCGGACGGUACUCCGCGUGUAGGGGUAAAAUCCUUUGAUCCGCGGAAGA
rnacentral:rRNA from 1 species